AACGCGAAGAACCUUACCCAGGCUCGAAAUGUAAAGGACGAUAUCAGAGAUGAUAUUUUCCGCAAGGACCUUUAUAUAGGUGCUGCAUGGCUGUCGUCAGCUCGUGCCGUGAGGUGUUUGGUUAAGUCCAGCAACGAGCGCAACCCUUAUCAUUAGUUGCCAACACGCAAGGUGGGGACUCUAGUGAGACUGCCUAGGUUAACUAGGAGGAAGGUGAGGAUGACGUCAAGUCCGCAUGGCCUUUAUGUCUGGGGCUACACACGUGCUACAAUGGUCGGUACAGAAGGCAGCAAGACCGCAAGGUGGAGCAAAUCCGUAAAGCCGAUCACAGUUCAGAUUGGAGUCUGCAACUCGACUCCAUGAAGUUGGAAUUGCUAGUAAUGACGUGUCAGCAACAACGUCGUGAAUACGUUCCCGGGCCUUGUA
rnacentral:rRNA from 1 species